GCCAGCAGCUACAUCAACCUGCAACUCCCAAUUGGCAGCCCACUGCAGCUCAGCAGUGUGAGCCUGGUCAGUACCUGGAUGGGAGACUCCUGGGAAAACUAAGGGUGCUGCUGGAA
rnacentral:rRNA from 1 species